CACUGCCUACGGGGCGCAGCAGUAGGGAAUCUUCCACAAUGGACGAAAGUCUGAUGGAGCAACGCCGCGUGAGUGAAGAAGGGUUUCGGCUCGUAAAACUCUGUUGGUAGUGAAGAAAGGUAGAGGUAGUAACUGGCCUUUAUUUGACGGUAAUUACUUAGAAAGUCACGGCUAAAUACGUGCCAGCAGCCGCGGGAAUACGUAGGUGGCAAGCGUUGUCCGGAUUUAUUGGGCGUAAAGUGAGUGCAGGCG
rnacentral:rRNA from 1 species